rnacentral:lncRNA from 1 species
ACCUCUCUCCUCAUCAUAGAUUAAGGUCCAAAAUCAAAGAAUUAAGGCUCCAAAUCGUAGAGGUAACAUCCCUAGCUUGUUAUUCAACCUCUUAGGCCUUCAAAUCUGUGUUUAAAUUAUGAUUUUGGACCCGGAACAUGUGUUUACGGCCAAGGAGCACGCUUGGGCCGUAAACACAUAAUAAUGGGGUUUUUGAGCAAUCUAACCCUUCCAAAUCAUCAUUGGGACUUAGAUACGACCUUAAGGCUUACAAAACCGGACUUGGAACACCUUAAACUUGGAUUUUGAUGGAUUAACAUGAGUUUACGGCCAAGGUAUGUUCUUGGGCUGUAAACCCCUCAAACAUGGGGAGUAAACUCACUUUUACAUGUUAGAAUGCCUUGUAACUUAACCAAAAGCCUUAGAAUAAAUCCUAGAACCAACCAAAAAUAGUUUGGGGACCUUAAACACAUCAAACACCCUCUUAUUAGGUGUUUAUGGCCAAGGAACUCCAAGAACAUGUUCAUGGGUCGUAAACUCCUAAUUGUGUGUCAUUUGAUGCCCUAAAGUCAUACCAAGGCUUGGAAAAUUAACUAGAGUCACAUGUGAUUGUCCUAAGCAUCACAAAUUAAAUAUGGUUUGAGCUUAGGGGAGUUUACGGCCGUAAACUCCAAGUUUACAGCCGUGAACUCCAAUAUGUGAUGUAUAUGUUGAUUCAAUUCAAUCCAUGGCAUUAGAAAAAUCCAUUCCAACAUUCCCUUGUCCAUUUAAGCCAUUUUAACACUCAAAACCACCCAAACAUGAGUUCACAUCCGUGAACUCAUGUAUAUAUGGGUUUUAUGGCUGAAAACUCAUUAAGGAGUUUACUCUUGGGGAGUAAACUCAAAUCCCAAGUCCCUCGCAUCAAUACACGUCCGUAGAUGUCACCCGGGUCACUCCAAACACUCGUUUUGAGGUGUUUUAGCUCAUUGGAGUGUAAUGUUCCAUCUAAUUAGUAAUUGUAAAUCUAAUUAGAUAUGUUUGGACAUUAUUUCAUUUUACAUAGGAACAUCGCGAGUAAUCAAGCCCCGAACCAACGUUUAGUGUCCGAAACCGUAGCAAUUCCUCGUCUGGUGAGUUCAUACCCCUACCCUUUUUCACUAUUUUUCACUGUUUUAAGGGGGGAACACAAGCAAAGUACAAGGGAUUACUUGUACUCAAAACUUGUUUUCGUGUGUGUUUUUCUCAUUUUAUAUGCUUUUAACACUGAUUGAUACAACUGAUAACCGUUUGAACAUGCAGAUCACGUAAACAUAUAUUUGUGAAAUGGACUUUAAACUGUUAUGUUUUAUAUAUAUUUCAAAAAUAGUUUUCCACAUUUUAUCACUUAAAAGCAUGACAUUAGAACCAUUGAAACAUAAAACUUGUACAAAGUAUAUCCUCGGUAACACUCCACAGAGAUACGCGAGUGGAGGAUUAUCAUAUUAUUACUAGUAAAUUUGUUAGUCCUGUAUGAUUGGAGACACGUCCUCGGUGAACACUCCACAGAGAUACGCGAGUGGAGGACUGCACUCAUAACCAGAAUCUUUGGGAUUAGAGAGCGUGACUUGAGUGUAUAGAUAUAUAUGGGGUUGAGUACCCCACACCUGGCUGCUAGCUACAGCCGAACCGAAAUUGUUCAAGGGUGACGAAAGUCAUAAGGUGAUGUGGACUACUUAUUUCCAUAUCUAGUCUAUCGUAUGGUUAUGGAACUCGCAAUUAGGAUAAAAGAGAUUUACUUAACAGUAAUAAUGAAUAACUUAAUACAUUUCACAAGAUAACCAGGUUUCAGUAUACAUCUUUCACACUGGUAAUCAACAUUCAGGAAAGUUGGGACUUUCCUGGGGAAACAUUGUACAUAACCAUGUUUUACAGAAUACAUCUUUUACAAUUGAUAACCAACAAUUAGGAAGGUAUGGGACAUUCCUGGGGAAACAUUGUACAUAACUAAAAAGUGUAACGAACCGGAUAAACUUUACAUCUUUCACAAUUGGUAACCAACAAUUCAGGAAAGUAUGGGACUUUCCUGGGAAUACAUUUGUACAUAACCAAAACAGUAAAACAAACCAGAUAACCUAACUAUACAUUUCCACAAGAAUAUACGUAUUUUCAGUGUACAACUUUACUUUACAUGUUGAGAAACAACAACCAACCUUUUUAAGAAAAUAUGGGAUUUUCAUGGUGUGUGUAACAUUUUUCAGAAACAGAAAGGAAACCUGAACAUUUUCACAAAACAAAACCACUUAUGAACUCACCAGCGUUAUGGUGAUUUUCAAAACCGCUUGUGUUCUCAGGUCAGCGUUAGAACAGGUACUCGAAGAUCCUUAUAUCCAAAGAUGGAGUACACAAAAGACUUGUCUCGUUUUGUUUAUAUAUACUAUGUAUCACAACUGUACAACAUUGCUUUUGAAACAAUUGUAAAACUUUUCUAUAUGAAAUGUAAUGGUUGUUUACUUUACUUACUAUGUGCAUUAGAUUUGAUACUCAACGUGGAGUCAACCCCAGAAAUGUUUCCGCCUUUGGUUUUCGGGGUGUGACAGAUUGGUAUCAGAGCCCUUGUUUAUAGUGAAUAAAGUAUACCAAACCUUACAUGGUAUAAAACUAUAAACACUAAAGGGCCUAAGUGCUCUAAAUUAAAAGUAUCUUCAAACUAUAAGUAUUUUCAAAAGUAUAUAAGUAUACCGAACCGUCGAGAUCCGUAAAUACAAGUAGAACAAAACAUAAGUAAAUGGGUGUUGUAUACUGUGGUUAAACCUGGACAGUUAUGUAGUCGUGUCUAGGAUCAAUAUAGCCUGGCCAACUAUAUUCAUUCGAGACACGACCAACAUGUGCUUGGGAGUGACUGUGGUAUGCGGCAUGCCUAAAACUUACCCUAAUACCACAAACAUCGAACCAGAAUCGUAGCAAAUCAUGAAAAUACUAUGGGAGUAUUUCUGGAGCCAAUCCUUUGUAGAAAUCCUCGUGCAUGCAUUGAUCCUUGAUCAUUCCAUUAGCGAUAGUUUACCUGCUUUGAUAACUUUUUCCUGCCUUAUCGCUUAUUCGGAAUAUAUAUCUGUCAUAUCUCUCGAUUCGAUUCAGAGGACUUACCAUUCUCUCUCUCUUUCUUGAUCUUAUUAGAUUAAGAUGCCUCCCAAAAGAAUACCCAACUCCAACAACCCUCCGCCACCACCUCCUCCUGAAAUAGACCCCGUGGUAUUCCAAGCAGCUGUUAUCGCCGCGGUGGCAGCUGCUAUGUCUCAAUUAAACACCGGUGGUUCCGGUGGUUCGGGAGGUGGUACUCAAACUCAAGAUCAAGAAAGCAAUCAGGGACACCGAAAGGAGGGUUCCUAUAAGGAUUUCAUGAAUGAAAAACCAACAUCCUUCGAUGGCACUGGAUGUGUCAUUUCCUUAUCCCGAUGGUUUGAGAAAAUCGAAUCCAUCUUUGAAAUCUGUGCCUGUGCGGAAUCUGAUAAAAGUCAAGUUCGCAGCCUGUACCUUCAUUGUUAAAGCCUUGACUUGGUGGAGUGGCCGAUUCAAAACCCUGACCCUAACCGUAGCCAAUGCCAUGGGCUAGGAAGCCAUGAAAGAACUCCUCAUUGCUGAGUACUGUCCCUGUGGUGAAAUGCAGAAACUAGAGCCCUGGAUGAAAGGUUCCGACAUUUCCCGAUUCGAUGAUCUCGCACUUCUCUGCCCUGGAUUAGUCACUCCUGAAAGUAAAAAGAUUGAGAGGUUCAUUUGGGGGCUAACCCAACCGACAAAUGGUCAUGUCUUAGCUGCUCGUCCGGAUACCUAUGAUAGUGCCAAGACUUUAGCCCAAACUCUAAUUGAUUACAGUGAUGACAUCGAGGAAACCACCACCGCUUCUGAGCAGACUAAAAGGAGUGGUGAGAAGAGAAAAUUCUGGAAGAAGAAGAAGGGUCAAUCUUCCGAAGGAUCCUCCAAGAGACAGCAAACUAUAGCAGUCCAUGUUGCUACUACCCCCGUUGCUGCUGCUUCUGUUGUGGGAUCCACAGCUCCAACUCCUACCAGCAGGGAUGCUGGUAAUCUCCCUUUGUGUGACAAGUGCAAGUACCACCAUAGCCCUGGCCCCUGUCGAGAACUAUCAUGUACCAAUUGUGGUAAGAAGGGGCACACAGUCCGAUUCUGCAAAGCUCCAGCCCAAUCGGCCAAUCAAUCAUCUGGAGCAGGCGUUUGUCAAGCCUGAUAUAACUGUGGAGAGGUUGGACACUUUAAAAGGAACUACCCCAAGAAGUCAACAGCUGAUAAUACCGAGAGAGUCCUAGCCAUAGGACGGGAGGAAGCAGUCACCGAUCCCACUGUAGUCUCGGGUACGUUCCUUCUCGACAACUCAUAUGCUAGUAUUCUUUUCGAUUUGAGUGCUGAAAGAAGCUUUGUUAGUCAUUCGUUCAAACAUAAUUCCCAACCUUUAACUGAAAUGUUUACCGUCAAGAUGGCUAACGGUGAGAAAGAAAGCGCCAACAAGGUAUUCGUAGGUUGUACCCUUACCCUGAACGACCAUUCAUUUCCCAUCGAUCUCAUGCCAGUUUCCAUAAAGAGCUUUGAUGUCAUCAUUGGCAUGGAUUGGUUGAGUCCCAAUCAUGCACAUAUCCUUUGUUUUGAAAAAGCCAUCCGUCUCAACCUUCCUUCGAAUCAAACUCUCGUAAUCUAUGGCGAUAAACUCAGUUCCAAUCUUCGUAUCAUUUUCUGCAUCAAAGCUCAGAAGCUCCUGCGAAAGGAGUGCAUUGCAUUCUUAGCUCAUGUAAUCAAUGAGAAACAGGAAGUUAAAGACCUCGCGAGCAUCCCCGAAGUCUGUAACUUUCCUGAUGUGUUUCCCGAAGAGCUUCCAGGAAUUCCUCCCGAGCGUUAGGUCGAGUUCCGUAUUGACCUAAUUCCUGGAGCUACCCCUGUAGCGAAGUCUCCGUAUCGCUUAGCUCCGGCAGAAAUGCAGGAGUUAUCCAGUCAACUCAAUGAGUUACUCAAUAAAGGAUUCAUUAGACCGAGUUCCUCACCCUGGGGAGCUCCGGUAUUGUUUGUCAAGAAGAAAGAUGGAUCCUUCCGGAUGUGUAUCGAUUAUCGUGAGCUGAACAAGUUGACCGUCAAAAACCGAUAUCCUCUUCCGCGAAUAGAUGACCUCUUCGAUCAACUCCAGGGAGCCAGUUACUUCUCCAAGAUAGACCUUCGGUCAGGUUGCCAUCAGCUAUGAGUUCAUGAGAGUGAUGUUUCCAAAACAGCUUUCAGGACUCGGUAUGGACACUACGAAUUUGUAGUGAUGCCCUUCGGUCUAACCAAUGCACCGACAGUGUUCAUGGACCUGAUGAACCGGGUGUGUCAUCCUUAUCUGGACAAGUUUUUCAUUGUAUUCAUUGAUGACAUACUUGUCUACUCCAGAAGCGAAGAAGACCAUAAACAGCACUUGAGGCUAGUGUUGGAAACCCUUAGAUCCGAGAAGUUAUACGCAAAAAUUUCCAAGUGUGAGUUCUGGAUUCGGAAGGUAACUUUCCUCGGUCACGUGGUAAGCGAGGAGGGUAUUCAUGUAGAUCCUUCCAAGAUUAAAGCGAUAGAGAAUUGGUCGACACCGAAGACACCCACAGAAAUCCGAGAAUUCUUGGGUCUCGCCGGCUAUUAUCGGAGAUUUAUCCAAAACUUUUCCAGAAUCUCCAAACCCUUAACCACUCUAACACAUAAAGGUGUACCCUUUUGUUGGAGUGAUAAGCAAGAAACCGCAUUCCAGACGUUGAAGAAAGCCUUGUGCAGCGCGCCUGUUCUGUCCCUACCCGAAGGGACNGAUCCUUCCAAGAUUAAAGCGAUAGAGAAUUGGUCGACACCGAAGACACCCACAGAAAUCCGAGAAUUCUUGGGUCUCGCCGGCUAUUAUCGGAGAUUUAUCCAAAACUUUUCCAGAAUCUCCAAACCCUUAACCACUCUAACACAUAAAGGUGUACCCUUUUGUUGGAGUGAUAAGCAAGAAACUGCAUUCCAGACGUUGAAGAAAGCCUUGUGCAGCGCGCCUGUCCUGUCCCUACCCGAAGGGACAGAGGAUUUCGUUGUCUUCUGCGACGCGUCUAAUCAAGGAUUAGGAUGUGUGCUUAUGCAACGAGGAAAAGUAAUUGCUUAUGCCUCUAGACAGUUAAGAGCACACGAGGUCAACUAUACCAUGCAUGACUUGGAAUUAGGAGCCGUAGUCUUUGCAUUAAAGAUUUGGAGACAUUACCUCUACGGAACCAAGUGCACGAUCUUCACUGAUCACAAGAGUCUACAAGACAUCUUUGAUCAGAAAGACUUGAACAUGAGGCAACGACGAUGGGUAGAACUACUCAGUGAUUAUGAGUGUGAAAUCCGUUACCAUCCCGGCAAGGCCAAUGUGGCAGCAGAUGCCCUUAGCCGAAAGGAGAGUUCAAUCCGAAAGGUGAAGACCCUGACGAUGACCAUCCAUUCCAACUUAUCCAUGCAAAUCCAAGAAGCCCAGUUAGAAGCCCUCAAACCCAGAACGUGUCAAUCGAAGCCUUGAGAGGAAUGGAAAAGAAACUUGAGAUCAGAGGUGACGGAGUCUACUACUUCAUGGAUCAAAUCUGGAUUCCAAAGUCCGGAGGAUUCAGGGGGAUUGUCAUGGAGGAAGCGCACAAGACCAAAUACUCUGUUCACCCGGGCUCUGACAAUAUGUACUUGGAUCUCAAGAAACAAUACUGGUGGCAAAACAUGAAAGCUGAGAUAGCUAUGUUUGUGGGCAAGUGUCUGGCUUGCACCAAGGUUAAAGUUGAGCACCAGAAAACCGCAGGUCUACUCCAACAGCCCGAGAUACCCGAAUGGAAAUGGGAGAUGAUUACCAUGGAUUUCAUCACCAAACUACCCAGGUGUCCGAGUGGGUAUGACACCAUUUGGGUAAUUGUCGAUCGCUUGACAAAGUCCGCUCACUUCAUCCCGAUCAAAGAAUCAUACAAGAUGGAAAGACUCACGUGAAUCUACAUCCAAGAGGUAGUCCGACUGCACGGUGUACCUGCGUCCAUUAUCUCUGAUCGAGAUAACAGGUUUACCUCCAGAUUCUGGCAGACUCUCCAGAAGGCUCUUGGAACCAAACUAGACAUGAUCAUGGCAUAUCAUCCUCAGACCGAUGGUCAAAGUGAGAGAACUAUCCAAACCCUGGAGGACAUGCUUAGGGCAUGUGUCAUUGAUUUCGGAAAGUCGUGGGACACACAUCUACCUUUGAUCGAAUUCUUGUACAACAACAGUUACCACACCAGGAUUAGGGCUGCCCCGUUUGAAGCCCUAUACGGUCGCAAGUGCAGAUCCCCUCUGUGUUGGGCCGAGGUGGCAGAUACACAGUUAGCUAAGAGUCGAGUUCCCGACAGUGCUCUCAGUGGUCCUGAAAUCAUCCGCAAAACCACCGAGAAGAUCGUCCAAAUCCGAGAUCGAUUGAAAGCUUCACGAGAUCGCCAAAAGAGUUACGCUGAUAACCGUCGGAAACCUCUGGAAUUCCAGGUUGGAGACUGUGUCCUGUUGAAGGUCUCGCCCUGGAAAGGCACGGUACGCUUUGGAAAGCGUGGAAAACUUAACCCUAGGUACAUUGGACCCUUCGAGAUCCUCGCCAGGAUCGGUCCGGUAGCCUAUAUACUUCGUUUACCUCAUGAGCUCAGUAACAUUCAUCCCGUCUUCCAUGUUUCGAAUCUCAAGAAAUGCUNGUGUUUGUCCGAUGAGACCCUGGUGAUUCCUUUAGACGAGAUAGAUAUCAAUGAAAACCUCAACUUUGUGGAGGAACCAAUCGAAAUCAUGGAUCGAGAAGUCAAAUGUACAAAGCAAAGUCGCAUCCCGUUAGUGAAGGUUCGCUGGAAUGCCAAGCGGGGACCGGAGUUCACUUGUGAGCGGGAAGACUCAAUGAAACGGAAGUAUCCUCAACUCUUUCCAGAUCCAUGAUUUGUAUCUUGUCUUGUAUCUUAAUUUUGAAUUUCGGGACAAAAAUCCCUCUAACAGGGGAUAAUGUAACAACCCGAAAUUCCGUACCACUUCUUGUAACUCUUUUCAUAAUCAAAUUCGAUCAACUAAUCGUCGUUUUCAAAUCCGAUUCUGAUUUCCUCAUUUAAUUAAGUCAUUAAAUGGUAAUGAUCUAAAAUGACUUAAUGGGUGUCUUAAUGCAUUUAGAAAUCAUUCGAACACCCCAUUCUAGUGAUCGGAACAUUUCUAGAAUCAACCAUAUCGGGUUACUGCAACUUGGCCGGGUGCGACCAAAAGCCCCGUCUGAAGCCGGUAUCGGGUAGAAUUCCACCGUGUCCAAAUCCCGAACAUUAUUUAAACAUCUCUCCUCAUCAUAGAUUAAGGUCCAAAAUCUCUCUCUCUCUACUCUCUCUCUAACCUCUCUCCUCAUCAUAGAUUAAGGUCCAAAAUCAAAGAUUUAAGGCUCCAAAUCGUAGAGGUAACCUUCCUAACUUGUUAUCCAACCUCUUAAGCCUUCAAAUCUAUGUUUAAUUCGUGAAAUUGGACCUGNUUAUUCAACCUCUUAGGCCUUCAAAUCCGUGUUUAAAUUAUGAUUUUGGACCUGGAACAUGUGUUUACGGCCGAGGAGCAUGCUUGGGCCGUAAAUACAUAAUAAUGGGUUUUUUGAGCAAUUUAACCC